GAUGAACGCUGGCGGCGUGCCUAAUACAUGCAAGUCGAGCGAACGGACGAGAAGCUUGCUUCUCUGAUGUUAGCGGCGGACGGGUGAGUAACACGUGGAUAACCUACCUAUAAGACUGGGAUAACUUCGGGAAACCGUAGCUAAUACCGGAUAAUAUUUUGAACCGUAUGGUUCAAAAGUGAAAGACGGUCUUGCUGUCACUUAUAGAUGGAUCCGCGCUGCAUUAGCUAGUUGGUAAGGUAACGGCUUACCAAGGCAACGAUGCAUAGCCGACCUGAGAGGGUGAUAGGCCACACUGGAGCUGGAACGCGGUCCAGACUCCUACGGGAGGCAGCAGUAGGGAAUCUUCCGCAAUGGGCGAAAGCCUGACGGAGCAGCGCGGCGUGAGUGAUGAAGAUCUUGGGAUCGUAAAACUCUGUUAUUAGGGAAAAACAUAUGUGUAAGUAACUGUGCACAUCUUGACGGUACCUAAUCAGAAAGCCACGGCUAACUACGUG
rnacentral:rRNA from 1 species